UACAGAGGGCAAGCGUUGUUCGGAAUUACUGGGCGUAAAGGGCGCGUAGGCGGCCCGCUAAGUCGAACGUGAAAUCCCCGGGCUCAACCCGGGAACUGCGUCCGAUACUGGUGGGCUCGAAUCCGGGAGAGGGAUGCGGAAUUCCAGGUGUAGCGGUGAAAUGCGUAGAUAUGGGGAGGAACACCAGUGGCGAAGGCGGCUUUCUGGUCUGCUC
rnacentral:rRNA from 1 species